AUGACCGGCAUAGAGAUAUGCUUUUCUCUUCGGAGACAUCGGAGACAGGUGGUGCAUGGUUGUCGUCAGCUCGUGUCGUGAGAUGUUGGGUUAAGUCCCGCAACGAGCGCAACCCUUAUUGUUAGUUGCUACGCAAGAGCACUCUAGCGAGACUGCCGUUGACAAAACGGAGGAAGGUGGGGACGACGUCAAAUCAUCAUGCCCCUUAUGUCCUGGGCCACACACGUACUACAAUGGUGGUCAACAGAGGGAAGCAAUACCGCGAGGUGGAGCAAAUCCCUAAAAGCCAUCCCAGUUCGGAUCGCAGGCUGCAACCCGCCUGCGUGAAGUUGGAAUCGCUAGUAAUCGCGGAUCAGCAUGCCGCGGUGAAUACGUUCCCGGGCCUUGUACACACCGCCCGUCACACCAUGAGAGUCGGGAACACCCGAAGUCCGUAGCCUAACCGCAAGGGGGGCGCGGCCGAAGGUGGGUUCGAUAAUUGGGGUGAAGUCGUAACAAGGUAGCCGUAUCGGAAGGUGCGG
rnacentral:rRNA from 1 species